AUUGAACGCUGGCGGCAUGCCUUACACAUGCAAGUCGAACGGCAGCGGGGGAGAAGCUUGCUUUUCCUGCCGGCGAGUGGCGAACGGGUGAGUAAUACAUCGGAACGUGCCCUGUAGUGGGGGAUAACUAGUCGAAAGAUUAGCUAAUACCGCAUACGACCUGAGGGUGAAAGUGGGGGACCGCAAGGCCUCAUGCUAUAGGAGCGGCCGAUGUCCGAUUAGCUGAGUUGGUGGGGUAAAGGCCUACCAAGGCGACGAUCAGUAGCUGGUCUGAGCGGACGAUCAGCCACACUGGGACUGAGACACGGCCGAGACUCCUACGGGAGGCAGCGGUGGGGAAUUUUGGACAAUGGGCGAAAGCCUGAUCCAGCAAUGCCGCGUGUGUGAAGAAGGCCUUCGGGUUGUAAAGCACUUUUGUCCGGAAAGACAUGGCUCUGGUUAAUACCUGGGGUCGAUGACGGUACCGGAAGAAUAAGGACCGGCUAACUACGUGCCAGCAGCCGCCGUAA
rnacentral:rRNA from 1 species